CGUUGACACACCGGUUCUCGUAUACUCACCAAAGUUAAGUAAGGUUGAGCCUGGUCAGUACUUAGGCGGGUGACCACUUGGGAAUACC